ACAUGGCGGCGCCCUAUUGGCCAAACUCAAGGCUUCAAAACGGCAGUCCACAAACCAACAGUGCUGUGAACAGGAACUGCCACAGUCCGGCUGGAACAAGAUCAGAAACAAUCUGACUUCAAAAAGGUCAGGCGGUGGAGUCCAGAGUUUGCUCAGGAUCACAGGAGUUCAUCAUGAGGUAGAGGCGUUUGGAAAGCUCCGGACCGACCCGUCGAGUUGUGGAUGUGACACCUUCACCUCUGCGGAUCAGAAGGUCAGACAACAAGGAGAUCUUCUCGCGGUCUGCUUUGCACAGAUUGUAAGCCUGCAGAAAGACAAGGCAAUUGAUUUAAGAAAAAAAAAAGUUACACUAUUCUAAUAUG